rnacentral:ncRNA from 1 species
GCGUCUUGGUGCUUCCACGUUGGAAGAAAAGGGAAUCCGGUGAAAUUCCGGGGCUGUCCCCGCAGCUGUAAAGUCGUUUCCUGCCCGUGAGGGUGGAUCUUUUCGUUAAACCACUGGGUAAUUCCGGGAAGGUGAAAAGAUGACAAGCCAGAAAACCUGCCAGAUGAUGC